CAGGAACCUGUGGUCGAACCGGAAAUUUUGGGAUGGGUCUGUGAGCCCUGGCCUGGCUCCCUGCUGUCAUCAGCAGACUACCUGCCUGAACCAAUAAGCAAAUUUGCAUCUUCUAAGUGCCUAUCACAUCACUGAGCUCGGGGAUUUGCACUGCUGUCUCAAGUUCCUGAUUUCUAUUAUUAGGUCUAUUAUAUAUUUCUGCGUGUUGGAUUUGCCGUAGUAAGAGAUAAUAAAAGAUACAAAGAGAUAAUAUUGUAUCCCCAGACUCUAUUUCAAUGUGACUGUGACAGUAAGGGUAUGAAAACUGUGCUUAAACCGGGCUGUUAUUUUAAUAUAUCUACUUUCCCAAGCUGUAAAAUCCAGAAAAAGGAGCUAUAACUGGAGGUGGUUGCAGUGCAGAUAUACAUUGAGUUUCACUGUAAAUGAAUUGGUAGAAAAUUGGGAGGGAACACGGCUGAAUGAACAGGGAGAUGAUACUGUUGGGUAAUUUAAUUUUGAUUUCCUUCCGUUUGGUGGAUGUGUUUCUUUAGCUUUAGUUUGUGUCAACACUGUAUUUCACAAUGCAGUUGUGAACUGUAUUUCACAAUGCAGUUUUUUACUGGUGCGGGUGCAGAUCUUUCUCCUUUGAUAGCAGGACACCGGAGGUUUGUUUGCCCCCUAGGAUUGUUUGGAGAGUGUCUCAUUUGAAUGAGGAAGAGUAUUCCACAAGCUGCCACUUGUUGUAGCUCUGCCGAGGUGGGGCACGGCAGGGAAAAAUGCAGGGCAUGUUGAUCACUCAUCCCAAGGCUUUAUCUGGAGGGCAUUCCUUCUGCGAGGCACACUUCUUGCCCUAAGGAAAAGGAGACAUUUCCCCUACAGCAAUGUUUAACUAUUAAAAUUCCCCCUCCACAAUUUCUCUAGGAAAUACCCAGGAGCGUUUGCCCACCUCACCAGGUUAAUCAGGAUCUUCUGGUUGCACACUGAAGGUACCUUCUGCCCUGCUUCCAAACCAUGCAAAAGCACAAUGGAUGGUGUAACAUGGUUGCUUUGUUACUCUCUAAUAACAAUUUUCUUCCUUUGCAAUCUCUGAUUUCAUUGAGGUGGCUGCUGUCCUAUUUUUAGAGGGAAUUUUCGGCUGAGGUCUCUCACAGCUGGUUAAAAUGUGUAGCUAAAAAGUGUGUAAAACAAAUCCCAAGGGAGAAGCAAGACCCAUCCUAAACAAACUUUGCUGAACAGAUUAGAUUUCAAGGAGUAACAGAGUUUAUAAUAGGGAGUAUUUGCUUUAAGGGCUGCCAAGGAUAAAUCAGGAAGGAGAAAGGCUCACGAGGUAGCAGGAUGAGUGGAGGAGAUCUUAGGAAUAUGGGAAGAAAAGCAAACCACCAUGAAGUGAAGCUGGACAAAGAAACAGAACACAAAUAUAGGAAAACAGGUUAACAGUUGUGAUGGAGAACUGGGUAAAGAAUAUUGAAACAAAAAUCCACUCAGAUUUGUUCAUAUAAUUAAAGAAACUUGCUGAACUGUUCUUGCUUUCCAUUUGCUUGUGCUGGUCAUGAGUGUUCAACCAACCGAGCUGUGGCUCAAAGAGUGAUUCUUUCAAAGCUGCAGGUACAAGUAUUUGCACAAGCAAACAGCAAACUCAUGUCGUGUUAAUAUUAGCACUGCAAUGACUUGCCUCUUCCUCCAGUCAGGAAAUGGAAACAAUGGCACAAAACUUAAUGUGACCAACAGAACUUAAUUGCCAACAGCAAAUGGUCCCAGGGAACUGUUUAAGAACAAUUGAUGGAUGCAAACUGGGAGAUUGCAUCACUUUGAGUCACAAAGGAGUCUAUGGAAAUAGAAGUGUUGCUGGUUAUUCCAAAGAUAGAAAGUCAUGGUGUCACUGGAUAAGCUGACAUAAACAUCACUGCUGCAUCACUGCAUCAUUUUCCCUGCCUCCUGACACAACAGGCCUUAGAAAAACCCUUCUUUGUGAUCUGGCCCCCAGUGCUCCUUGCCAGCCCUGCUCUGGAGAUUCCACAGAAAAUUCACUACAGCCAGAAAUUAAAAUACCAGUCCAUACACAA